UACGGGGGGGGCAAGCGUUGUUCGGAAUUACUGGGCGUAAAGGGCUCGUAGGCGGCCAACUAAGUCAGACGUGAAAUCCCUCGGCUUAACCGGGGAACUGCGUCUGAUACUGGAUGGCUUGAGUUUGGGAGAGGGACGCGGAAUUCCAGGUGUAGCGGUGAAAUGCGUAGAUAUCUGGAGGAACACCGGUGGCGAAGGCGGCGUCCUGGACCAAUACUGACACUGAACAGCGAAAGCCAGGGGAGCAAACGGG
rnacentral:rRNA from 1 species